ensembl:misc_RNA Metazoa_SRP Metazoan signal recognition particle RNA
GCCGGGCAUGGUGGCACAUGCCUGUAAUCCCAGCUACUCAGGAGGCUGGGGCAGGAGAAUUGCUUGAACCCAGGAGGUGGAGGUUGCAGUGAGCCGAGAUUGCGCCACUGCACUCCAGCCUGGGUGACAGAGCGAGACUCUGUCUCAA